GUUGGUUCUUCGAGAGCAAACGGCGCUUUCAAGGUCCAACGCACGCGAUACACCCGGUCUGAGGAGAAGCGCGCGCUUGAGCACGGAAGUGGCACUUCCUGGAUACGGACUAAUCAUAAGCCUAUAGCAGCAGAGGACUGAUGGUCGCUGUUGUGUGAAGCCUCCUCCACCUGGUCGACUAUCUGGGAGAGCAGUGAAAUGGAGGCUCUAGUUGGGGGAGAGAGGGGUCGAGGGCUUGUGGAGGAGCUGUCAUGGAUGAGGCCUCACGAAGGCGGCGGUCUCUUUCUGCCAGUAACAUGAAAGCAUGGAUCCUUCUUUCCUCCUGCAGGCGAACCAGCUCCUUCGACAGGAAGUCCAGCAUGUCGCCAAUCACCUCACCUGAAAGGCCGUCUACAGAG